CGAGCGCAGAGGCAGCUGUGAGGGAGGAGGCGCUGCCUGAGGAGACCACAGAUAAGUUUUUCUGCUAAGAUAGAUAGGAUUAGUAUAAUUCUGUAGGAAUUAUAAAUAGAAUAGUGAGAUACUGCUUUGCAUUAAAUUCUUAGAGUAACUUUGAUAACUUAAGAUUAUUUUAGGGGAAAUAUGAAGACUUAAAGAGUAGGUUGAGAAAGGAAGAAAAAUAAUUUUAGAACAUGGCGGAGGUUAGGAGCUGAAACUUCUUCAUGGAGUGAAAAAACUAAUUUUAAAAGGAAUUGCUGAAAGAAAUAGGACUGCACAGUACGGAAUUUUCUUAAAUGAAAGGCAGCCUUUUAGAUUAACGUUAAAACGUAGGGUGACAUAAACAGAACCUAAACCUAACCGUCAUUUAAAAAAGUCAUAGUUGUAGAGGAUUAAAAUUCUUUAAAAGCCGUCUUUUAAGAAAAUUAACUGAAGGUGAUUUAAGAAACAUGCCUUCAAAUUCAUGGCGCAAUAAAAAUUGCGACAUUUGAAGCCUACUUGAUUAUAAGGGCUUUAUUUGCUAAAGCCGACGGAAAUAAUAAUUAGGGAUGGUAGGAUAAAGAUUUUGAGAAAGAAGAUUAGAAAUUUGAAGUGGAAAACUCGGAAGACAGAAGUACAGGAAGGUGAAGAAAAGACUAGAGAAGAUAGGAAAAGUAGAAGAUAAAAAUACGCCUGUUAGAAGACAGAAAAACUAAUUUUAGCCCAGAAGGUAGAAGGCGGAAGAAAAAGUAGACAAAACUAGAAGAGAGAAAGAAGGUUGAACAUACGGUCGAGUAUUUCAGAUAGAAAAUGAAAAACAAGCUAUUGGACAUAAGCAUACCAGAUAGACGUCAAAAAAAAAUUAGAAGAUGCGAAAGUUCAAGGCCAAAAAGUUGGAUAAAGUAAAGGAACAAAAACUAAGGAAAAUAAUUUUUUAUAGUUAAAAGAAUUAUAAAAGCCCAUCAACUUAAUUCUGGUGGUGCAGAAGUUAGAUUUGAGAAGAUGAGGGUUUUUAAACUGCUGUAGGUCAGGACCAACUUAGAAGACUAUCCCAAAACGAGAAGGGAAGUCAGUUUAAAAUCACAGCAAAAAGCUACUAAAAGGACUGAAGUAAUUUAAAAACUAAGAAUGUUUUUGGAAGAGUUAAACAUUUGAAAGGCUGUAAAUACAGUAGCUUAGUUUCCUUUGGAAAAUUUAAAGGACUUUGUAACUGAAGGAAAUCCAAGAGCAAGAAUAAUCGUCAAGUUAACAUUUUUGCAUUGGACUUUGCGCUAAGAUGAAAUUUUAAAUUCUGAGGACUAGGCGCUAAUUAACAGCUGACCCAGGUGCUACACAGAAGUGGAUUCAGUGAAUCUAGGAAGACAGGAGCCGCAGACAGGAUUCCAGGAGCCAGUGUUUGGUGAAACUAGGACUGAGGAGCAAGCGGCAGUUCGUGAAUAUAGGAAAGAGGAGCCCGGGAGCCAGUGCGAUUUGGUGAAGGAAGCUAGGAAGAAGGAAGGAGCCCUAACGAUUUGGAGGUGAAGCUAGGAGAGGAUCCCAGGAAGGAGGAGGCCAGUGCGAUGUGGUGAUGAAGCUAGCGUGCGGCUUGGCUUGGCAACCACGCGGAGGAGGCGAGCAGGCGGUGUGGAGGAUAGAUAGAGGAUCCUAGAGCGGCAGCCCAGUGUGCCAGGCCCGCAGGGAGAGCCAGUGGUGUGGUAAAACCGUGAGGUCGGCCAUAUCGUGGGUUGUUUUCUUCUCUUUAAUUUUUUUUUAUGUAAUUGAGUAUGGUAAUAUCUUUGAAUUUCCUAAUGGUAAUGGGGGAGUUGUGUACUUAAGCAUAAAGGGUUUUAUGGGGAUAUAGGCCGAUUUUCGGGUGUCGUAGGUUUCUCUUUUGCAGGCCUAUUUUCUCAUGCAUCUUUUCUGGAGCUUUUGAGGGCAGACUUCCAAGGCCCGGAGGAAUGGUAGAUGGCAAGUGUUUUUGUUUUUAACCAAUAUGAGGGAAAACAAAUGGAUUUGAUAGAACGACUUUGAGAGGAUUUCAGCAAGUUGUGUAAGCAGGUUUUAUAUUUAGCUUGGGGUAAUGAAGCAUUUCAAUUUCGUGAAUAGAGGACCUAUUUUUCUUUCUCACCCUGUAUUCUAAAAGUUUUCUGAAUAUGUAGCUUGGGUGUGUAAUUGUGGGGGGAAAGUUUUGGGGGGGCAAAAUAUGUUUUGAGUUUUUUUCCCUUUAGGUCUGUCUAGAAUUCCAAAGGCAAAUGACUCAAGGUAACAGGAAAAAAGAAAAUCCAGUAUCAGGAUUAUCAGAACACCACAGGUUUACAGUUUGUAGAAACGAGAGCACAAGCAGCUCUCAUUUGAGGUCUGGCGGAGCUGUCCAUGGGAGAAAUGGCUGGUAGUUAUUCUGUUUUUCCACCCCUUAAUCAGACAUUUUUUAAAGUACGUAACUGGUUAUUUUUACUUAAAGUAUUUUGGGGACGAGGGUGGGGGAGAAAAUGUUUCUCUAAGAUUUUCCACAGAUGCUAUAGUACUAUUGACAAACUGAGUUAGAGAAGGAUUGUACUGCUACGCUGUUUGGCACCAACGCCUUCAGGGAUUGGAGCUGCUUUUUUCCUUGGAAGAGUAUUCCCAGUGAAGCUGAAAUGCACAGCACAGUGCAGCUUUGGUUCAUACUCAGUCAUCUCAGGAGAACUUCAGAAGAGCUUGACUAGGUCAAAUGUUGAAGUUAAGUUUUCAAAUAAUGUAACUUUUAAGCUAACUUAUUAAAGGGGAGGGGCAGAUUUUGGCAAUUAGUUGGCAGUGGCCUAUGGUUGGGAUUGGGAGGGUUGGGUUUAGGUAAUUGUUUAGUUUAUGAUUUCAGAUAACUCAUACCAGAGAACUUAAAUACUUAGGAUGGAAAACUAAAGAACUCUCAACUUCCAAGGUGGCAAGUAACUCCCAAUUUUCUAGUUUCUGUUUUUCCCCAGUUUUUGAAUUUGACAGCUGGGGAAGUUCAUGAAGAUUGACUGGAUUUAAAGUGUAGGGCUUGGGGAAGGAAAAUGGUGGACUGGGGGUUGGUCUAGCCCACUGGGCUGCCUUAGAUUAAAAACUUGGGAAUUUUUUAAAUGCUUAAGUUGUUUGCAUAUGGUAGUGUGUGGUUCUCUUUUGGAAUUUUUUUCAGGUGGUUUAAUAAAACUUAAUACUACUAUAGGAGCUUCAGAGCAAAGGAAGUGGCUUAAUGAUCCUGAAGGGAUUUCUUCUGAUGGUAGCUUUUAUAUUAUCAAACUUUUUUCAGAUAACAACUUCUGAGUCAUAACCAGCCUGGCAGUAUGAUGGCCUAGAUCGAGAGGGGAACAGCUCCUUGGUGAAUGAUAAGUAAAGGCAGAAAAGAUUAUAUAUCAUAUCUACAUGGGGGAAAAAGCAUAACCCUGAGAUCCUUAACUACUGAUGAACAAACACAUUGUCUGCAUAUGCCAAAAAAAAUUAAGCAAAUGAAAGCUACCAAUUUAAAGUUAAUGGAAUCUACCACUUUAAAGUUUGGCUUAUCAAGCUGUAUCCACAAAAAUAAUGAAUUGAUGAGAAAUGAAAUGAUGAAAUACAAUGAAGAUCAAAUGUCCAUCUCAAUACUGCUUUUACAAAAGCAGAAUAAAAAAGCGAAAUGAAAUGAAAAUGAUAAUGCUACACAUUAAUCCUGGAAUAAAAGAAGCUGAAAUAAUUGAAAUGAGUGGGAUCAAGUGGAUUGAGGAGGAGGCUGUGCUGUUUGCCAAUCUUUCGUUUGCCUCAGACAGGUUUCUCAUUAUCAGAAGAGUUGCUUCAUUUCAUCUGGGAGCAGAAAACAGCAGGCAGCUGUUAACAGAUAAGUUUAACUUGUAUCUGCAGUAUUGCAUGAUAGGGAUAAGUGCUUACCUUUGCUAAGAGCUGUGGAGGUCCUAGGUCCCUUACCUAAGGGAUUCCGGGAUUGUGAGGGAUUUUCCUAUCCAGCCUUUUAAAAUUAGACAGGACUUAGUGUGCCUGUGGGCUUCCAUGAUGGGUUAGCACACUUCACUCAGAGGCUAGUAAUUCCUUAAAGCCUCUUGAGAUUAAUAAAGGUAAUGUGUGUAAUACUAAGAACAUUUGUUUAGCAUUGAAUCUCUGAAAAGCCUAUUGAAGGGUAGCAUAAUGUGCUGUUAACCAGAAUUCAGAUUGUUAAUCUUGCUAAAAUUUAAAUGUUAUGAUGUGUAUUGUGCAGAAAACCGUUAAAUUAUUCAAAAUAAAAUACUUUGUAGAGAAUGUAUGCUUUUAGAAAGCUGUCUCCUUAUUUAAAUAAAAUUGUUUGUCUGUAGUUAGUGUUGGGCAAUCUUGGGGGGAUUCUUCUCAUCUUUCAGAAACUUUGAACACUUUAACGGACAAGAUCAGGAGUUGAGCGGAAGAACGAAUUUAACUUAAGGCAGGAAAAACAAAUUUUAUCCUUCGUAAAAGUGAUGAGCAUUUAAUAAUUCCAGGCACAUGGCAAUAGAGGCCCUCUAAAUAAGGAAUAAAUACCUCUUAGACAGGUGGGAGAUUAUGAUCAGGAAAACAGGUAACACCUACGCUGUUUUCAGAAAGUCAGGAGUCUAGUGGUUAAACUAGAGUAAUGAGAGAUCAUACUGUCCACGUUUCCAGUUUGCAUGUUAACUUUAAAUGCUUACAGUCGUGUUAUCUAGUGGUAGCUGAUGUUUACACUAUUGGCCUUUUAUAUAGGCACUUGGUGUGGGGGAGGGCAUGUGGGUUUUUAAAGAAUUUUCCUUUGCAGAGGCUUCAUUUCAUCCUUCAUGAAGCUGUUCAGGAUUUUGACUUGCAUAUAAGCACUUGGCUCUGCCUUCUGUUCUCCUAGUGAGUGUGAGACCUUGCAGUGAGUUUAUCAGCAUACUCAAGUAAAUUUUUCCCCCCUGAUUUUGGAGGGAAGGGAGGAGAGGGUGGGGCUUACUUGUUUUAGUUUUUUUUUGCAGACUACACAGAAUGCAGUUGUCUUGAUCUCAGGUCUGUCUGUUCUGUUGGCAAGUAAUGCAGUACUGUUCUGAUCCGCUGCUAUUAGAAUGCAUUGUGAAACAACUGGAGUAUGAUUAAAAGUUGUGUUUUCCCCAAUGCUUGGAAUAGUGAUUGUUGAAGGAAAAUCCAGCUGAGUAAUAAAAGGCUGAGUGUUGAGGAAAUUUCUGCAGCUUUAAGCAUUCGUGUUUGUGAUUGAAGCAAAGUCCCUUUUGCUGUGCUUUUAGGUAAAAUGCUUUUUUGUUCACUUCUGGUAAGGGGGUGGGAGGGCACUGAAGCCUUUAGUCUUUUCCAGAUGCAACUUUAAAAUCAGUGACAAGAAAUAAAUUUCAAACGAACAACAGUCUUCACGAAAUUUAACUGGCAAGUGGAAAUGUUUAACAACAGUUCAGUGGUCUUAGUGCAUUGUCUUUGUGCCGGGUUUCUCUCUCCCCUCCCUUGGUCUUAAUUCUUAUAUACAGGAACAUUCAAAACAACAGACGUAUGCGAAGGGCCAGAGAAGCCAGACCCAGUAAGGAAAAAUAGCUUAUUUACUUUUAAUAAACAAACCAAACAUUGCAUUUUAAAUGUGGGGAUUGGGAACCACUAGUUCUUUCAGAUGGUAUUCUUCAGACUAUAGAAGGAGCUUCCAGUUGAAUUCACCAGUGGACAAAAUGAGGACAACAGGUGAACAAGCUUUUUCUAUAUUUACAUACCAAGUCAGAUCUGUUAUGGGUAAUUCAGUACUAAAUGACCUUCCAGCUUUACGCUGGUGUCAACAGCAUGAGCAAGUUGUUUGUUGGCCUGGGGGUGGAGGGGUGAGGUGGGCGCUAAGCCUUUUUUUAAGAUUUUUCAGGUAACCCUCACUAAAAGCACCGAAGGCUUAAAGUAGGACAACCACGGAGCCUUCCUGUGGCAAGAGAGACAGCAAAGCGCUAUUAUACCAAGGUCAAUCAGAAUGGUGUCGGCCUCUCAACCCCAUCUUCUGUUAGGAAAUGAGGACUUGCCUCAACGACACCCUGUGCAGACACUGCAUUGAGGCUGUCUUUUUGGGGAGUGAAGCAUCCAAACGAAUGCUCGAGUACCUUGUAUACCCUGGGCUUGUCCUAACAUACAACUCAGCUGUUUUUAUAGCAGCUCUUAAUAAAGCCCAAACCUCAAAAAGUGAUGCUUGAAGGGGAGGGAAAGGGGGAAAGCGGGCAACCACUUUUCCCUAGCUUUUCCAGAAGCCUGUUUAAAAAGCAAGGUCUCCCCACAAGUGACUUCUCUGCCACAUCGCCACCCCCUGCCUUUGGCCUAGCGCAGACCCUUCACCCCUCACCUCGAUGCUGCCGGUAGCUUGGAUCCUUGUGGGCAUGAUCCAUAAUCGGUCUUAAGGUAAUUGGUGUCAAGGUCUUCCGGUGGGUUGCACUACUAGAAAUGACCAUUAAUUUGCCUGCAAAUAGUUAAUGAUAUUAAGACCACAACUAAAAAGCUCUAAGAUGUUUCAGAUGUGUGGCAUUAUUAUCCAGUGAUUAAAAGAAACUUAAACCAGUAAAUGGAGAAAUAACAUUUAAGAACUGUCAUGUUGGGUGGGAAGGUAUAAACUGAAGUAGACAGGCACUUUAGCAGUUGAGAGGGGCUGUUGGGGGGGAUUGCAAAAAUUCUCUGCUAAGACUUUUUCAGGUGAACAUAACAGACUUGGCCAAGCUAGCAUCUUAGCUGAAGCAGAUUCUCCAGUGCUCUUCAGUAGGGUUAUUUAUAAAGGUUUUUCUUUUCCUGAGAAAACAAAAGGUUUUGUUUUCUCAGGUUUUGCUUUUUGGCCUUUUCCUAGCUUUAAAAAAAAAAAGCAAAAGAUGCUGGUGGUUGGCACUCCUGGUUUCCAGGACGGGGUUCAAAUCCCUGUGGCAUCUUUGCUUGACUUUGACCUCUGCUCUCAGGACUCUUUUACGUUUUUCUUCUUUUGCUUCAGGUGCUAGACUCUAGAGUUAGGGGAGGUGGAAGAUAAAAGUAGCUUCAAACUAUAUCUUUUCAUUUGUCAGAAGUCUGAACUGGUUUGUAUUUGUAUUUACAUAGGAACCUAAUAUAAUAACUGCAUUGUCUUUAAUUUUCAGGUAUUCCUCACGUAUCUAGUGUUUGGAGAAGUCUCACUAUUGAAAUUUUUAAUUACAUAUUAAUAAAAAUUAAAAAGCUU